GUAGUUGCUCCAAGUUAGAUGGGUCAUGGUCUACACCAUCUGCCAUACUCUGUUGGUCUAGGAUGGGGUUCGCAAGUAGGCAUGCAUUACCUUAAAUUCUUUCUUCCACCUCUUUUCCAAUAAAUGAUCUCAAAAGUGUUUAAACUCUGCUUCCAUAUCAGUACAUAUUGCUGAUAAGGUUGUCACAAGAAAUUUUUGUUUAUAAACUAUAAUUUCAGGAAAUUCUGAUAGAAGCAAGAGUGCAAAACUGAAAAGAACAUACAAGACAUAUGAGAAAAGCAGUUUUCUUUAAUAUAAAACAGGACAAAUGUUUCCCUACCAAGCCACAGAAAUCUAGGCACAUCAUAAUCUGCUUGAUAUGUUUCUAUUAGCGGACUGAUUCAUUAUUUGUGUAUGCUUGAAAGACCUUAUAAUGUGAUGCAUAUUUUAAAAGUAAAUUGACAUGUUGAACAUAAACGUUUAACUUAUGGCUUCUAUAUCUGAUAUUUCAAUUUUGCAUGUAGACUUGUGGGAGUUUGGAGGAUGAUUCAUGAAAGUGAGAUAAAAUAUUUAAAAAAACCUUUAUGUAUCUAACUUGUCCACUAGGAAAGACUUAUGCCUUUAAGACUUCUACCAUCUACAAGGGAUGGCUUGAUGCAUCAAACUGCUCUCAAGUUUUUGUGAGUUUGUAUUGAUUUCAUGGUCAGGUACAUUUCCAGCCAAUAGAGUCCUUUACUAUAAAACCCAAAUGACUAGUUGCUGGAAAGUGAAAGGUAAAUUACUGAUUUUGCUGUUUGAUGCUUAUGGAACUUAGAAGCAGCCCUCCCAAUUUCCAUGGAUUAGGAAAAAGAAAAAUUCAUUGAAGAAUUUGGCUAGCAAGGUUUGGUGUUGAGGACUGCUUUCAUGUUUGAGGGACAGAACACAAUACCAAAUGCUCAGCAGGUACAAACACUUAAGCAAUACACUGAGAAAUUGAUGAUCUAUCAACGUAUGUGUUGUUCUUUUAUCAUUUAGAGCUCAGAUAUUGAUGUCUCUUCCUCUCAUCUAAACAUCUUUAAGGCAAGUGACGUAAAGAGUCUGAUCUGUCAACAGGCAAAAUCGCUCAUGAAAUUCCAAGUUUAUUGGCAUGACAUAUGACUUUACCUUUCUUAUGUUUAUUAAGGACAUGCACAUUUUGUGUUGUUGAACAUAUCAAAUGACAAAUUUAAUUUUGUGGGUGACUGUAAAAAGAACAUUAUUUGAAGUAAUUGACAUGAUGAAGACUAAACUUGGGUCAUUUUUAGUUGUUUUAGCUUCUGAUAAAUAAUAGCUGAUUGUAAUAUUGCAUGUUUCUGGACAUUGAACUUGGACAUCCAAGAGGAAAAUGUGAAUUCAAGUUCUCAGACCGUGCUGUGCUUUUAAGAUCAUACAUCCUUCUUUUUUGAUUUUUUUUUUUUCUAACCUGUAUUAUACAGAUCUUGGGCAAACGAAUGGACUUCAUCAUUGUUCUACAUGGUUCUAAAGCUGUCAAGAUAUUUACUAGCUGCAAGCACUUUUCCUUGGGGGAGGUUUGAAUGCAGUAGCAGGACUGGUUAGGAGAGUCUUUGAAGCAGAUUUCUGAGCUGGUGAUAAAGGAUCUGGAAUUUGUUACACCUACAGCUGUAGCAAAGGUGUCAAUUGUAAGACAUUGUGUCUUUUGCAUAUUAUGAUAGAAAGUAGGAUGCCUAUGUUUCUAUUUGAGAUGGAUCGGGUGCUUUUGUUGGAGUCUUACUGGAAGGUAACACUGUUGCGACAUGGAUUGAUGCUAAUCUGUACUUCUAUGGCGAUCCUUAUCUGACGACAACUGACAUUCUUCUGGGAACAGUACAGAGACCUGAAACUGCUGCACAUUGUAUUCUGCUCUGAAUGAUCUCUACUGGAGGCUGACAUCUUAAAAUCUCAAUUGUUUAUCAGAAUUCCUGUUGUUCAUUGUUCUGCUUUCUUUUGACCAUCAGAGUGGUCAGUCAAACAAUAAGAUGAUGAUCCCAUGAAUGUUAAAAAUAUCAAUAGUGCACAUUCCUUUUACUGCAUCUUUAUACUGUUGGCACUGAGAACGACCCUGUAUGUUUUUAUCAGAAGAUUCACAUAAAUGCACUUGAACAUGAUUCAA